rnacentral:rRNA from 1 species
UACGUAGGGUGCAAGCGUUGUCCGGAAUUAUUGGGCGUAAAGAGCUCGUAGGCGGUCUGUCGCGUCUGCUGUGAAAACUCAGGGCUUAACCCUGAGCUUGCAGUCGAUACGGGCAGGCUAGAGUUCGGCAGGGGAGACUGGAAUUCCUGGUGUAGCGGUGAAAUGCGCAGAUAUCAGGAGGAACACCGGUGGCGAAGGCGGGUCUCUGGGCCGUAACUGGACGCUGAGGAGCGAAAGCGUGGGGAGCGAACAGG